rnacentral:rRNA from 1 species
AGCAGCCGCGGUAAUUCCAGCUCCAAUAGCGUAUAUUAAAGUUGUUGCAGUUAAAAAGCUCGUAGUUGAAUUUCGGGAUCAAUACGUCGGUCGUGCUUCGGUACGUACUGGCGUAAUUGAUUUCUCCCCUUCUGACGAACCAUGAUGUCAUUAACUUGGUGUCAUGGGAAAUCAGGACUGUUACUUUGAAAAAAUUAGAGUGUUUAAAGCAGGCUCACGCUUGAAUACAUUAGCAUGGAAUAAUGAAAUAGGACGUUCGAUCCUAUUUUGUUGGUUUUUAGGAUCAACGUAAUGAUUAAUAGGGAUAGUUGGGGGCAUUAGUAUUCAAUUGUCAGAGGUGAAAUUCUUGGAUUUAUUGAAGACUAACUACUGCGAAAGCAUUUGCCAAGGAUGUUUUCAUUAAUCAAGAACGAAAGUUAGGGGAUCGAAGACGAUCAGAUACCGUCGUAGUCUUAACAUAAA